rnacentral:tRNA from 1 species
GGGGGCGGUGCCCGAGUGGCAAAGGGGGCGGAUCGUAAAUCCGCUGGCAACGCCUACGUAGGUUCGAGUCCUACCCCCCCCCCACCA